rnacentral:tRNA from 1 species
CAAAAUGUAGCUUAAUAAAAGCCCCCCGCUUACACCAGGAAGUUAUCCGUGCAACCCAGAUCAUUUUGAG